UCCCUAGUGGCUCAAAUGGUAAAGAAUCCGCCUGCAAUGUGGAAGACCCAGGUUUGAUUUCUGGGUAAGGAA
rnacentral:tRNA from 1 species